GUGGCACGACGUACAAAGAGCUUUGCUGCUCGCAGGACCAGGAGUGCAGCAGCACGGGGGUGCCGGGAGAUGGACGCAGGCCAAGAAGAGGACCAUGACCGUACCAAGGAGGUGAUGAACACAACAAACAGCCGGUGUUCAGGGUUGCAGUAGUAAUUGGAAGAUAUUUAUAGAGUUAGGUUGCCACCAAUGGGAAUACAGCCAGGGGACUGGUUUUGCUUGUCAGCGACCAAAACAAGAACAAGUCAAUUCUUAUAUGUACAUAUUCAAUUUGUGGAUGGUUGGAGGCUCUGUGUUCAUGGUUUAUAUGGGUCAUCUUUAUAUCUGGGCCAUGGUGGUUGUGAUUCAAAU